rnacentral:lncRNA from 1 species
AGCCACAGAAAGUCAACCUUGAGCCAUGCAGAGUGGAGAGUCAUACAUGCCAUUCCUGGGACCAUCAAAAAUGGCAGAGGUCACACAAAAGGCAAAACUUUUAAGAGGUGUUUUAAACGUCGUAUGGGCCAAAGAGAAGCUGGAUUUCCUAUUGGAGUCAGCUGUAACACACGUGUGAUGAAAUUGGCCUGUGAGGACAAGGCAGUGAGCAGAGAGGACAGCAGUCCUUAUGAGAUCAAGCUCUAAGGCCUGGAGUGCAGUGGAGCAAUCUCAGCUCACUGCAGCCUCCGCCUCCCGGAUUCAAGUGAUUCUUCUGCUUCAGACUCUCGAGUAGCUGGGAUUACAGUUUUGAGAAGAAUGCGAAGAAGAAAGGAAGAGUGAGCCUCUCUUUCCCAUCGUUACCCUCCAUUGUCCUCUUGACACCCUGCUUUCACAGAGAAAGAGUUUGAGACCCUCUCCCAGGAGCCAAGGAGAGGGGAACAGCUGGCUUCACAUCAUCUUUCUAUUCAACAAGAUACAAAAAGCUGAAGCCAGGAUGAUAGAAAAGCAACAAAGAAGACACGGUCCUUACUCAUUUCCCUUCCCGCUUCAGAGCAAAUAUGGUGCCUAGUGUUUGAAGGGAGAACUUGUGGGCAG